rnacentral:lncRNA from 1 species
ACGGGACACCUGCAUCUGCCAACAAGACUGGAAGCAGGUUGGCGCAUGGACAUUUUCCCAGAAAGGGACAGAGACGGCGAAGUUUGACGGUCUGGAAAGCAGAGACCAGCAGGGCUGACUGCUUGGGAGCACCAAAUAUCCGGACAGCGCCUCUCGGGAGGUCCGAGAAGAGAACCGCGAUCUGUUUCAGCACCGGGGCUCAGGACAGUUCCCAGCGGGCUCCGUUUCGUCUCCAGAACCCUGGACAGCUCCUCCAGCUUGGAAUGCACUCCCUCCACCUCCAACCAGAGCUCCCCACAACUGACCCUGCCUUCUUCUGCAAGCUCCAUUUCAUCAAGGGAAACGAUCCUUAUUGCCUCACCAUUUCCCACGUGAAGUCUGUAUUGACAUUCUCAUAGACCUGGGAUAUUGUGUCUGCAGCACAUAGUCCAAUUAUUUUCAUGUUAUCUACUGACAGGUCUAUUUGUCUCCCUGUUACACUGUGAGCUCCGUGAGGGCAGAAACAAUGUUAGUAUUUUCACUGCUGUGUCCCCAGCGCCUGGUCCGGGGCCCGGCACACAGCAGGCAUAUAAUAAGCAUGUGUUGAAUCAAUAAAGGCAUCAAAGAAUAAACCAAUACAUCAAUCAAUAAA